ACUCAGUGUAUUACAAGACAUUGAAUGAUGCCUGGUUCACUCCUCACUGCCUCCCCUUGUGUUGCAGUGUUCUACUAGCUGUGGUCUGGGGGCCAUCUGGAGGUUGGUGGUCUGCAGCACGGGACUGGAGUCUGACUGUGACCUGACCAAGAGGCCUGUGCCGGCCCGGCGCUGCUACCUCCGACCCUGCUCCUCCUGGAGGAUAGGGAACUGGACCAAGUGUUCCAAGAACUGUGGUGGUGGGUGACCUGCGUGAGAUCCAGUGCUUUGACACCAGGGACCAGAGGCCUUUGCGGCCCUUCCACUGUCAGACCGUGUCUACCCGGCCGGUGGCCCGCAUGCCCUGCCUACCCCAGCCCUGCUGGACGGUACUCUUCUUCCUGGGGACAGUGCUCUGAGGUGUGUGGGGGAGGGGAGCAGCAGCGUCUGGUUACCUGUCCAGAAGAGGAUCGCUGUGACGAGGCCCACUGCCCAGCAACAUCCAGGCUGUAACACCACCCUGUACCCAAUGGGUCACUGGCUCCUGGGGACAGGUAAGAGAAACAUACUGUGCACACACAAACACAGCCUACAGGUGUUUGUGUGAUGUGAAGGAUGUACCAUUGUGCCUUCGUUUACAGUAAUGUUGCAUUGUAUUGUGUACCUGCUCACAUGCACCCACACAGAGAAAUAAUCACAGACAAUCACAGCACCAUACAACGUGAUUGUUUACGCUCUGCGGUAGUAGAUGUUCUGUCUUAGACUUUAAUGUGUGAAUCACAAUACAGGAUUGAAAAAAUUC
rnacentral:lncRNA from 1 species